rnacentral:rRNA from 1 species
CCUACGGGAGGCAGCAGUGGGGCAUAUUGCACAAUGGGGGAAACCCUGAUGCAGCGACGCCGCGUGAGUGAAGAAGUAUUUCGGUACGUAACGCUCUAUCAGCAGGGAAGAAAAUGACGGUACCUGACUAAGAAUCCCCGGCUAACUACGUCCCCGCAGCCGCGGUAAUACGUAGGGGGCAAGCGUUAUCCGGCUUUACUGGGUGUAAAGGGAGCGUAGACGGCAGCGCAAGUCUGGAGUGAAAUCCCAUGGCUUAACCAUGGAACUGCUUUGGAAACUGUGCAGCUAGAGUGCAGGAGAGGUAAGCGGAAUUCCUAGUGUAGCGGUGAAAUGCGUAGAUAUUAGGAGGAACACCAGUGGCGAAGGCGGCUUACUGGACUGUAACUGACGUUGAGGCUCGAAAGCGUGGGGAGCAAACAGGAUUAGAUACCCCUGUAGUC